GGAAGAUCCGCUGGAGAAGGGAAAGGCCCCAUUGCUCUGACCUGGAGAAUUCCAUCAACUGUAUAGUCCAUGGGGUAGCAAAGAGUCGGACACGAGUGUGCGACUUUCACUUUUAUAUUGUUUUAACACUUUCAUGCAAAAUUAUAUCUGAGAGCAUUUAACAGUUCUUGAAGACGAGCUCUGUCGCCCUGGCGGGCCGCCCUCCUGUCCCACGCGGCGGGGCAGCGCCUGCCUCAACCCAGGAGAGCGUUCGGGGAGCGCGCGGGCGGCUGGCCCCUGCCGCGCGGGCUGGCGGGCGGCGGCGACGGGCGGCUCCGCGGUGUGGGGACCACACACCGCCCGCCCGCGCCCGGCCCCUUGUCCUCGCGCGGCGAAGGUCCCGCGCGGCGGCGCUGGCGGCGGGACACGGUGGGCCCUGCGCGAAUUAUAGGCGUUCCUUCUGAGGCUCCAUGUUAAGCCUCUCCCGGACGCGCCCUCCCGGCUCCCCGUCCCCGAAAGCCGCACCCCGGGGCCCCAAGGAGCCGCGCUACCGGCCCACACCCCGCGCUCCCGGCCCCUGGCCUCAGGCUGCGGCAUCUCCAGCCCCCAGCCGCCGCCGGGACCGCGCGCCCGCGCCGCGGUCUGGUUCCGGAGCGGGGGCAGCCUCGGAAGGGCAAUGUUAUUUUUAA
rnacentral:lncRNA from 1 species